rnacentral:rRNA from 1 species
GAUGAACGCUGGCGGUGUGCCUAAUACAUGCAAGUCGAGCGAACAGACGAGGAGCUUACUCCUCUGACGUUAGCGGCGGACGGGUGAGUAACACGUGGAUAACCUACCUAUAAGACUGGGAUAACUUCGGGAAACCGGAGCUAAUACCGGAUAACAUGUUGAACCGCAUGGUUCAACAGUGAAAGACGGUCUUGCUGUCACUUAUAGAUGGAUCCGCGUCGCAUUAGCUAGUUGGUAAGGUAACGGCUUACCAAGGCAACGAUGCGUAGCCGACCUGAGAGGGUGAUCGGCCACACUGGAACUGAGACGCGGUCCAGACUCCUACGGGAGGCAGCAGUAGGGAAUCUUCCGCAAUGGGCGAAAGCCUGACGGAGCAACGCCGCGUGAGUGAAGAAGGUCUUCGGAUCGUAAAACUCUGUUAUUAGGGAAGAACAAAUGUGUAAGUAACUAUGCACGUCUUGACGGUACCUAAUCAGAAAGCCACGGCUAACUACGUG